GCAGAAGUCACGUGAAGCAUGUGUCAAACGGUCGUCCGUCCUUUUCGUUAUGCCUGACGUACGCCGUCGUACCCGAUAGAUCGCAAUAGUUUAAUUACAUAAUUAAGAAGCUAAGAAUUUAAUUCGUUCUAAUUAGGGGGAGCCUUGGUGCACACGACCUCUUGCGCGUGGAAUCCACGAAGGAAUGAACGAACGCUGGUCGAUUCCGAAAAAAAGGCAUUAAACUGUAACUCGGAACACGGAGCUUAUGAGUAUUGUAAAAAUUACCGCCUACGGACGGAGACCUUCUGGGAACGGCGAUAUUCUUUUCCGUUGGAAAAUCUAAACGCGAGUCGCAGGUACUCGUGGCCCGAUGUUUUCGACUCGGAUGAUAGAGCGAUUGCAUAUCUUUGGAUCAAUGCCGUUCUAUGGAGCAAGAUUCAUUUUCUGACAUUUCCCAACGAAGUUUCGUACUCCGAAGUAAACCCGCUCCACGUACGUUACAUUCCAUGAAUUCAACCCAGAGCAGCAGCAGCAGCAGCAGCAGCAGCAGCAUCCCCCGGUCAUUCCUUUGUCGCCAUAUUUGAACAGAUCGUAAAGUUAAACGUCAAAACUACGCAGACUCGUGGUUGCCCUAUAGUAAAACAUCAACGUCGUCUGUUUCUUGCCAACGGUGAACAAAAUUCAACUCAACGGUAGUGGUGGCACAACUUUCAAUAAUUUCCAAAAGUGUACUCCAUCCAGUCCGACUGCGAAUUCGACCACCGAAUUCGCGGUGUCAAAAUUAAAAGAAAACAACUCGAAUUUUAUCGAAAGCAGAUUAUUAACGUAAAAAUUGAAGUACUUUUUUUUUAAUGAGACGUUGUUAAGCUGAACUUGUGAUAUAAUAUCUUAAAUUGUUAUCUGUACGGAUUAGAAUCUACAAUCACAUCGCGUCGCGAUAUGUUGGUUCGGGGGUCAACGUAUCGCCAAAUAAGUUUCGGGGUAGUCUGACUUUGAAAAAAUACACGAGUAUAACUCAACUGAGUAGUUGUUCGUUCGAAACUAUCUUUAUCUGUCAUUGGAACGAUCGCGUACGUAAUGCGUGAAAUAGUCACUAAAAUGAGUCAAAGAUAUAGAAAACAUUCACUGACACUGACCACGCCAAAAACGCAAGUAUGGGUGUUUGACACCACAUAUGAUAAACCGAUCCGAGGUUACGGCAGCAUUAAGAGUUGAGUGUCAUUGUUCCGAGGCGGGCAUGAAUAAAUUGUUUUUUCCGUAUCAAGUAUAUAAAAGUAAAUGAGUUAAGUACAAUGUGCAUGCGAUAAACGCGCAGAAAGUAAAUAUGCGUAUCACGUACGAAAUCAGCGAUUAAUUUAUUUCCUAAAUCGAUGAACUAUAGACGUAUAUAGGAAUCAAAUGACGUAGAUUGUUUUUUCGUUUCCUUUCUUUCUAUCAGAGCGAAAGAAAAGAGGAAAAAAAAAGCACGAGAACAAAGCGAUUUACUCGAUUAUCGGAAUUGGCUAAUUGAUCGGCCGCGAAGGAAGUUGAGUAUUCAAAUGUAACCUGAGAUUGUUACUUCUGCAGUAGAGUGACGUUUGAAAAAAAAAUCAUUUCGCCCACGCUCAACCGAAUGGCGAUCAUGCAAAUGAAAGUUCGAUAUUACGUUUGUCAGCAUUGAUAUUUCUAUGUUCAUAUGAUUCGAAAACUAGUUUCGCCUACAUUCAAAAUGUUCGCUAAUCGACGAGCAUUGGCCAGAGAUCAAUGCGCAUUCCGAAGAGUUCGUUCGAAAAAGUUACUCAUAAAAAAACCGAACUAGAAGAUGGAGAAAAAAGGAGUAAUCUGCGCGCGAGAACAUAGAAAACCAAAUAAAUCACGAAACAGAAAAAAGCCGUUGCGCUACACGUGUCCCGUUUAAAACACGUAUCAAUGUAUGUUUCUUGUUUGGAUUAAUAUAUUUUUUGUUUAUCUGCGUUA